rnacentral:rRNA from 1 species
AGCAGCCGCGGUAAUUCCAGCUCCAAUAGCGUAUAUUAAAGUUGUUGCAGUUAAAAAGCUCGUAGUUGAAUUUCGGGGUUAGCAGGUCGGUCGUGCCAUUGGUAUGAACUGGUCUCGCUGAUCCCUCCCUCUUGACGAACUGUGAUGCCAUUAAUUUGGUGUCGUAGGGAAUCAGGACUGUUACUUUGAAAAAUUAGAGUGUUUAAAGCAGGCUCACGCUUGAAUACAUUAGCAUGGAAUAAUGAAAUAGGACGUUUGAUCCUAUUUUGUUGGUUUCUAGGAUUGACGUAAUGAUUAAUAGGGAUAGUUGGGGGCAUUAGUAUUCAAUUGUCAGAGGUGAAAUUCUUGGAUUUAUUGAAGACUAACUACUGCGAAAGCAUUUGCCAAGGAUGUUUUCAUUAAUCAAGAACGAAAGUUAGGGGAUCGAAGACGAUCAGAUACCGUCGUAGUCUUAAACCAUAAACUAUGCCGACUAGGGAUCGGAUGAUGUUUAAUUUUUAAUGUACUCA